rnacentral:rRNA from 1 species
UACGUAGGGUGCAAGCGUUGUCCGGAAUUAUUGGGCGUAAAGAGCUCGUAGGCGGUCUGUCGCGUCGGCUGUGAAAACCCGGGGCUCAACUCCGGGCUUGCAUUCGAUACGGGCAGGCUAGAGUUCGGUAGGGGAGUCUGGAAUUCCUGGUGUAGCGGUGAAAUGCGCAGAUAUCAGGAGGAACACCGGUGGCGAAGGCGGGACUCUGGGCCGAUACUGACGCUGAGGAGCGAAAGCGUGGGGAGCGAACAGG